rnacentral:rRNA from 1 species
CUACGGGGGGCACCAGUGAGGAAUAUUGCACAAUGGGGGGAACCCUGAUGCAGCAACGCCGCGUGGAGGAUGACGCAUUUCGGUGUGUAAACUCCUUUUAUAUGUCAAGAAAAUGACGGUAGCAUAUGAAUAAGCACCGGCUAACUCCGUGCCAGCAGCCGCGGUAAUACGGAGGGUGCAAGCGUUACUCGGAAUCACUGGGCGUAAAGGACGCGUAGGCGGGUUGGAAAGUCAGGUGUGAAAUCCUACAGCUUAACUGUAGAACUGCACUUGAAACUUCUAAUCUAGAGUAUGGGAGGGGGAGAUGGAAUUAGUGGUGUAGGGGUAAAAUCCGUAGAUAUCACUAGGAAUACCUAAAGCGAAGGCGAUCUCCUGGAACAUUACUGACGCUGAGGCGCGAAGGUGUGGGUAGCGAACGGGAUUAGAUACCCGGGUAGUC